rnacentral:sRNA from 1 species
UAUAACAGCUGAAGUUAUUUUAGAGAGC